rnacentral:rRNA from 1 species
UACGAAGGUGGCAAGCGUUACUCGGAAUUACUAGGCGUAAAGGGCAGGUAGGUGGUUUAGUAAGUCUGUUGUGAAAGCUCCUGGCUUAACCGGGAGAGGUCAACGGAUACUACUAGGCUUGAGUAUAGGAGAGGGUACUGGAAUUCCCGGUGUAGCGGUGAAAUGCGCAGAUAUCGGGAGGAACACCAAUGGCGAAAGCAGGUACCUGGACUAUUACUGACACUCAGCUGCGAAAGCUAGGGGAGCAAAC